UACGAAGGGGGCUAGCGUUGUUCGGAUUUACUGGGCGUAAAGCGCACGUAGGCGGGUCGUUAAGUCAGGGGUGAAAUCCCGGAGCUCAACUCCGGAACUGCCUUUGAUACUGGCGACCUUGAGACUGGAAGAGGUUAGUGGAAUUCCCAGUGUAGAGGUGAAAUUCGUAGAUAUUGGGAAGAACACCAGUGGCGAAGGCGGCUAACUGGUCCAGAUCUGACGCUGAGGUGCGAAAGCGUGGGGAGCAAACAGG
rnacentral:rRNA from 1 species